CACAUGCAAGUCGAGGGGCAGCAUAAUGGAUAGCAAUAUCUAUGGUGGCGACCGGCGCACGGGUGCGUAACGCGUAUACAACCUACCUUUAACAGGGGGAUAACACUGAGAAAUUGGUACUAAUACCCCAUAAUAUCAUAGAAGGCAUCUUUUAUGGUUGAAAAUUCCGAUGGUUAGAGAUGGGCAUGCGUUGUAUUAGCUAGUUGGUGGGGUAACGGCUCACCAAGGCGACGAUACAUAGGGGGACUGAGAGGUUAACCCCCCACACUGGUACUGAGACACGGACCAGACUCCUACGGGAGGCAGCAGUGAGGAAUAUUGGUCAAUGGACGCAAGUCUGAACCAGCCAUGCCGCGUGCAGGAUGACGGCUCUAUGAGUUGUAAACUGCUUUUGUACGAGGGUAAACGCAGAUACGUGUAUCUGUCUGAAAGUAUCGUACGAAUAAGGAUCGGCUAACUCCGUGCCAGCAGCCGCGGUAAUACGGAGGAUUCAAGCGUUAUCCGGAUUUAUUGGGUUUAAAGGGUGCGUAGGCGGUUUGAUAAGUUAGAGGUGAAAUUUCGGGGCUCAACCCUGAACGUGCCUCUAAUACUGUUGAGCUAGAGAGUAGUUGCGGUAGGCGGAAUGUAUGGUGUAGCGGUGAAAUGCUUAGAGAUCAUACAGAACACCGAUUGCGAAGGCAGCUUACCAAACUAUAUCUGACGUUGAGGCACGAAAGCGUGGGGAGCAAACAGGAUUAGAUACCCUGGUAGUCCACGCAGUAAACGAUGAUAACUCGUUGUCGGCGAUACACAGUCGGUGACUAAGCGAAAGCGAUAAGUUAUCCACCUGGGGAGUACGUUCGCAAGAAUGAAACUCAAAGGAAUUGACGGGGGCCCGCACAAGCGGAGGAACAUGUGGUUUAAUUCGAUGAUACGCGAGGAACCUUACCCGGGCUUGAAAGUUAGCGACGAUUCUUGAAAGA
rnacentral:rRNA from 1 species